rnacentral:lncRNA from 1 species
AACACUCAACCUCUCCCUCACCGCAAAUCACCUCCACCUUAUCUCAGCUUCAACCACAACAUUUACUUCGCCUUGUUAUCAUCGACGAAGUGCGAGAGAGGGAGUUGCAUUCUGCAAUCUGCGAUUCAAAAGGAAAGAAAAGGAAGGAAACCGAGAGAAACUAGCCUUAUUUGUUCUUGUCAGCCACUAGCCACCGAAAAGAAACAAUCUUGUCAUUCCUAAGAAAUAAGACCCAAGAGCAAACCAGGAAGAAAAGGAACCAACUACAUAUUCCUCUGCUUGCUAACACCGAGAGAUAAACAACCGAAAGCUUUCUUCACUUCUCCAACCGUAAAGCUGUGAGUGAAGUGAGAAAGUGAGAAAGAGUUGCAUGCCGCGCAAGCUGCAACUUUUGCAACUGUCCGAGAGAGAAAGGAGAGAGUCAGUGCGUGAGCUUCAUCCCUUCCUCACCUUCAACCAGCUGUGAUCAACCCAACCACAAACACCACAGCUGCAACCCCUGAGCCAGACCAGCUACACCAAGUGCGAUAGCAGCCAAGAGGAGAGAAAAAAAAAAUUGCAGAACCUUAUUGCGUGAGCUAAGCUUCAAACCAAGGUAAUUUCCGGCUUUAGAGUAGCUGAUUUUGGGUAGAUGAUGCUGUUAUAAGCUUGCAUGUGAUGUUCAAGCUCUUGGAUGAUGGAUUAAAGUAUCGGAAAUCCUGAAUCUUACAAAUGGGGAGCUGCCGAGAGUUGAGCUGGAAAUUUGCAGCUUUGAUUCGAUAAUCUGGGAUAAUCUGAGCAGGAAUUUGGGAUUAACUAAGUAAAAACAAGGAGAUUAAGACUUGCAUGUCGUGUUUAUGUGCGUUGAUGAGAUUAAGAGCAAGAAAAAAAUCUGUUUUGGUGAAAAUAGAAUGUGCCAUGAGAUGAUUCAGAAUUUCAGCUUUAAUCUUGUUUAAAUUGGAGUAAUCUGAACUUAUAGCUAUGAUUAACUAGUUAAUAACUAGGUGUGUAAGUCUUGCAUGAGGCUAAUCAGUUCGGCUAAAGAAAAAAUAUAUAUAUAAUAAGAGGAAACAAGAAAUCUGUCGCAUGCUAGCUUAGCCGAGGAAGAGCUGCACAAAUUUCUGGAUUUUGGGAUGAUUAUAACUGUUGUUUGAAUUUAAUCUUGAACUGGAAAUGUUAAUUAGCUAGCUAAGUGUUUGCAUGUUAAAAUGGAAUACUUAAAUCAAUAUUUUAGCCGAGGAAAUAUUGGUUUUAUGAACACUGAAGUGCUGGAAAAAUUUUGACGUCCAAGAAGGUUGAGCUGGAAUUUUCAAUUGGUUUCUGGAAUUUUUUUUCUUGGAAUAUAAUGGUCUAGAAAUGCAUGAGAAAUAUGUGUUUUAUGCGGUGUAAGUUGUUCAGCUACGAAGCAUUUAAUUUAUUGGCAAAGAUUGGCCAAAAAUGUUGACCUAUAGCUGCUGGAAAUCCUAUUUAACCAAUGACAGAUUUAUUGUGGUGGAAUUAUCCGCCAAAAUUACAGGUUAUUUGUUUUAUUUCAUGUUGGAAAAUUUUGAUGGUGGACUCUAUGAACUCCCACCCUUGGAUUGAUGGCUGAUAAAAUGAUUGAUGAUGGAUAUAAUGCUAGUUUAGUUUUUAAAUAAAUAGAUUAAUGAUACCUAGCUAGUCUAGACUUCAAGUGAGGCAUAGUUCAAAAAUGUUCAGUUUUGCCCUGUUUUAAUCGCACCCCUUUUUGUAGAAUUUUGAGGGUUUCAUGACUCGUAUAUUAUGUUUAUAUGUUGAAUAUGUGGUGUACAAAGUUUUAUUGAAAAAUAUUGAGAUUUGGUUGGUCAAAUAAAAUGAUUUCACAAAGCUAGUAAAUCUGGAACUGUUUCCGUAAUACUCUGACCAGCUUUCGUAUUUCGGCUAUAAAUCUGUGCUCCGAUGUCGAAAUUAAGUAGCGUCAGUGGCAUUUGAAACUAGACAUCCCAGCCUUUCCGACGGUAUAAAAUGCACAUUCUGGUUCCAUGUGUGUGAUCCGAACCAACCAUUUUAAGUCGGCUGUCCUGUUUCUCUGUUUUACAAGAACAAAAUGAUGAGGCUGCAACUUGUGGCUCGAAUUCGAGCUAGUUGUGUGCCGAAUUUCAAAGUGAUUUCUUCUGUGAAAUUAUAGCUCUAUGAGUGUGUUUUCCAACGCCAUAAACCAUGCCAAAUUCCUAGUUAACUUGAGUGAUCUAUAAUCAAAAUAGGAAACCUGCUCUGUCCUUGAAAACCCUGGUUUUUAGACAGAUUUGAUGCAAGGCUCGGUGUAGACUUGCAAAUUAAAUCUCUUGGUGUUAAUCACCACAAAUGUUGUUCUGAGAUUACCCUUAAACCUUUUCUAUGCAAAUGAACCAUGUUUAGAGGACUUUCCUUGGUCAAAAGUUUAGAAAAGGAAAUUUUCACAUACAAGGCAACUUUGCCUUAAAAUUUUGGAAACUUGAGUGAUUUUGUUAAGUGACUUCCCGUGCAUAUUUUUCUAUGAAAUUUGGUAGAGGGACAACCCUUAUAUGGUAAUAUUAUACUGCUAAUUUUGGUGUUAUUCCGAGAUCGUUUCAUGGGUCAAAUAAAUUACCAACGUUCCUGACUCGAGUUUGAAAAACCCAUGUUUCACAAGGGAAUUUUGGUAACUUUGAGUUGCCAUAUCUUAAUAUUCAAAACUCCAUUUCUCAUCCCGCUUGUUUUACUGUACACUUGGAUUAUGACUCUAAAAGAGUACCAAAUUUCAAAAGCUAGUUCCCAACGAGUGAAUUUUUCCGAAUUUUCCAAGUUGACCAAAAAUCAACUUAAAUCUGUCUUAUGAACCAAAGCAGCGUCCUUGAGCUCAUUUUUGAAUAUUUUCCAUUUGGAAUCAUGGAAAAGUGUCUUCGAGGAACUUUUAAUACUUUGGAAGUAGUUUCCAAUGGUACCAAGUUUUCCAAUUUUGGGACCUAAUGAGUGCAAGACCUGAUUUUUCUAAGUUUGACGUGCAAAGCUGAAAUUUGCCGAUUUCUUAGAAAAUGAAAUUUUGAAAACCCGUUAUUCCUUCUUGAUGAAAAUUGGUCACUUUAAACUUGAUUCCAUGAAGGAAAUUAUUUUUUUCCUUGUGUUAAUAAAACCUCACUUUUGAACCUUUAUUUUUAGUGGCUAAGGUUCUUGAUUUGAGGUAGUGACAAGUCUAGAUAAGUGUAACUCCUUCCUUGAUUAAUGCGUGAUUAUGAGUGAAAAAUACUUGUCAAUUGCUUCAGGUGCUCAAACUAGUCUUGAAGAGAAUCCCGGAGAGGACAACUAACGAUUCUCUCGCUCAAUUACUCUUGAAUUGUGAGUGUCAAGUGCAUGACUUGUCGUGUUUACUUGAUUUACCUGCUUAUAUACGUGAAUAUCACUUGAUGGGACGAGUGUGUACUUUAUCGCACUCGCUCUCCUUUACUUGAACUUUACUUGUAUUAACUUGGUUUUCGAAGUCGAUUUGAGUGAACCUCGUCGGCUAAAAUAUACCCGUUUUCGUGUACAUGUCGUGUUGUCGGGUGGAGUGAAGCUCCUCGACUUAUGGGGACCCCCAAAUUCUCUUAUCCAAUCUUGCAACUCGAGGCGGCAUGGGCUUGGUCGAGAAGCUUGAUAAGCCAAGGGAACAACAAAACAUAACUUGAUCUUUUGAGAUCUUGUUCGGCAUACUCGUGGAGUAUCGCCCUUUUCGUGCGUGUUCAAAAAUCAAAACUUGAUCUCUUGAGGUCUCGUUCGGCAUACUUAACGAGUAUCGCCCUUUUCGUGCGUGUUUGGUUACGGAUCCGAGAGGGUGGAACGUUGGCCGGAGGAAGUAAUAAGUGAAGUUUCUACGGAUAUAAUACCCACCCGAAUGACGGAGGGUCAUCGUGAGGGGGUAUCGGAUCGAGCCGUGGCGAAGCAAGUGGAAAAUAGCUCCUGAGAGCUCCUAUAUCCUUGAAUUGUUUCUGUUUACUUGCCUCGCUUGAAUUGUAAAUUACUUGAACCUUAUUGUUCUACUUGGACAACGUGCGUGCAUGUGUGUUUUCUUGGCCUCACGAGCUAUUGGCUCACCGUGUAUAUUUGUUUUCCUUGACAGGUUCUGGAAAUUGAGAGCUUUACAAUUUAUUUAGACUUUCUUAUGGAUGUAAAUGAAUUCUAUGACUUCGCUUUGCGGUUUGUAAUGUCUAAUGUUACUUAUGUCAUGUAUCAGAUUGGAGAUACAUUAAACUAGGUGUACUUAAUGCUUUGGAUUGCCACUUGAAGCUGGAAAAGUGCAAUCCCUGAUUCAGAUAUUUGGCUUGUAUGUUCGUACUUGUGUUGUAUGAACUUGUAUGUUUGGGAUGGUAUGACUUUAGACUUGGGUUGUAACGCGUAAGGUUCUUAAGAGUCGACGAUUGGCUAUAUUGAAAUGCUGUUAUCUCUGAAGUUAAUGUGGUUUGGUUAUUGACCAUUUUGGAGGAAAGUGAUAUUGUAAUAGAUUAGGUUAUUCUUCGGAAGGGUUUUGGCUAGAUUUCUUGCGUGAGUCCUGGCGAGAGCUGGGCGGGCGUCCCGCAGAUACCCCUUGGUUCGCCUUGGGGAGAAGUGGGGCCGUCACAAUUUUGAAGAUAAAAUCAUCUUUUUCAC